rnacentral:antisense_RNA from 2 species
AGCCAUGAGUACUAGAAGAAAAGCACCUAGACCUAACAAAAUUAAGUGAAUACCCAAAAUUGUAGUCAUUUUAUUCUAUCUUUCCA